rnacentral:rRNA from 1 species
UACGUAGGGGGCUAGCGUUGUCCGGAUUUAUUGGGCGUAAAGAGCGUGUAGGCGGCCAGAUAGGUCUGCUGUGAAAACUCGAGGCUCAACCUCGAGACGCCGAUGGAAACCGUUUGGCUAGAGUCCGGAAGAGGAGAGUGGAAUUCCUGGUGUAGCGGUGAAAUGCGCAGAUAUCAGGAGGAACACCCGUGGCUAAGGCGGCUCUCUAGUACGGUACUGACGCUGAGACGCGAAAGCGUGGGGAGCGAACAGG